UGAUGUGAGAUGGUAUCUCACUGUGGUUUUGAUUUGCAUUGCUCUAAUGAUCAUUGAUGUUGAGCUUUUUUUCAUGUUUGUCGGCUCAUAAAUGUCUUCUUUUGAGAAGCGUCUGUUCAUAUCCUCGGCCCACUUUUUCAAUGUGGUUGGUUUUUUUCUUGUAAAUUUGAUUAAAUUCCUUGUAGAUUCUGGAUAUCAGACCUUUGUCAGAUGGAUAGAUUGCAAAAAUUUUCUCCCAUUCUGUAGGUUGUCUGUUUACUCUGAUGAUAGUUUCUUUU
rnacentral:lncRNA from 10 species